rnacentral:rRNA from 1 species
GUCCUUUUGAGAUUUAUAUAAGGUCUGACCUGCCCACUGAUUUUUUUGAAGGGCCGCAGUAAUUUGACUGUGCAAAGGUAGCAUAAUCAUUAGUUUUUUAAUUAAAAGCUUGUAUGAAGGGUUGGACGAGGUAAAAUCUGUCUCUAUUUAAAUUAUUAUAGAAUUUAAUUUUUAAGUUAAAAAGCUUAAAUUUAUUUAAAAGACGAGAAGACCCUAUAGAUCUUUAUAUAAGUUUUAAUAGUUUUAAUUAAGAAUAAUUUAUUUAUUAUUAUUAUUUAUAUUUUAUUGGGGUAAUAAAAAGAUUAAAUAAAUUCUUUUUUUAUUUAAACAUUAAUUUAUGAUUAUUUGAUCCAAUUAUUUUGAUUAAAAGAUUAAGUUACCUUAGGGAUAACAGCGUAAUUUUUUUAGAGAGUUCAUAUCGAUAAAAAAGUUUGCGACCUCGAUGUUGGAUUAAAAAUUAUCUUAGGUGCAGAAGUUUAAGAUUUUGGUCUGUUCGACCAUUAAAUUUUUACA